GAGUUUGAUCGUGGCUCAGGAUGAACGCUGGCGGCGUGCCUAAUACAUGCAAGUCGAGCGAACAGACGGGGAGCUUGCUCCCCUGACGUUAGCGGCGGACGGGUGAGUAACACGUGGGUAACCUACCUAUAAGACUGGAAUAACUCCGGAAACCGGGGCUAAUGCCGGAUAACAUGUUGACCGCAUGGUCCUACAGUGAAAGACGGUCUUGCUGUCACUUAUAGGUGGACCCGCGCCGUAUUAGCUAGUUGGUAAGGUAACGGCUUACCAAGGCAACGAUACGUAGCCGACCUGAGAGGGUGAUCGGCCACACUGGAACUGAGACACGGUCCAGACUCCUACGGGAGGCAGCAGUA
rnacentral:rRNA from 1 species